rnacentral:rRNA from 1 species
CGCUGGCGGCGUGCCUAAUACAUGCAAGUCGAACGGUCUUUCUAUGGAAGCUUGCUUCCACUGAGAAGAUAGUGGCGAACGGGUGAGUAACACGUGGGUAACCUGCCCAUAAGAGGGGGAUAACAUCCGGAAACGGGUGCUAAUACCGCAUAGUUUUCUUGAUCGCAUGAUUGAGAAAGGAAAGACGGCCUUUGUGCUGUCGCUUAUGGAUGGACCCGCGGCGUAUUAGUUAGUUGGUGAGGUAACGGCUCACCAAGACGAUGACACGUAGCCGACCUGAGAGGGUGAUCGGCCACAUUGGGACUGAGACACGGCCCAAACUCCUACGGGAGGCAGCAGUAGGGAAUCUUCCGCAAUGGACGAAAGUCUGACGGAGCAACGCCGCGUGAGUGAAGAAGGUUUUUCCGGAUCGUAAAACUCUGUUGUCAGAGAAGAACAAGUUGGAGAGUAACUGCUCCAGCCUUGACGGUAUCUGACCAGAAAGCCACGGCUAACUACGUGCCAGCAGCAGC